CAACUGUAAGCUGCUGUCCACAGUGAGCUCGUGUUGCCCCAGCCAGAGCCAUCUUCUGAGGGUUGUGUGGCUGAGCCACUUUUGAAUGUGUCUGCUACCUCAGCUGACCAGGACCUUGGAUAUGAAAGGGAGCCCAGUUAGAGCUAUUGCUGGAGAUGAUACACAUUGCCAGGAGCUCGCCUUGACCAGGUUUAAUGCAACCAGACCAGCUCUAGCCCCAUGAUGGCAAGGUGGGGCUGUGUUGGCACUGAC
rnacentral:lncRNA from 1 species